CCCAUCUAAAAGGUGGAUGUUCCUUCUGUGCUUACAGGAUUUAUGGUUAAUCAUAGAGGAAAAUCCACAUUUUCAGUAUC
rnacentral:pre_miRNA from 1 species